rnacentral:rRNA from 1 species
GCUUAGCAUGAAGUGAAGCACAUACACCCGCUGAAUUUAAGCAUAUAAGUAAGUGGUGGAAAUUAAACCAAAUGGGAUAUCUUUAGUAAUUGCGAAUGAACAAGGAUAUGCUUAGCUUGACAAAUGGAGCUAUUGGCUUUGAAUUGUAUUGUGGAAAUGUAUUACCAACAGAGGUGCAGGUGCCAGCCUAUUGAAAUAAAGCGUCAAUGAGGGUGAGAAUCCUGUUUGUCAUGUGCAGCCCUUUGUGCACGGUGUAUAUUUGCUGAGUCACACUCCUUGGCAUUGGAAUGCAAAGUGGGUGGUAAGUUUCAUGUAAAGGUAAACAUGCAAUUGAGACUGAUAGCACACAAGUACCAUGAGGGAAAUAUGAAAAGGACUUUGAAAAGAGAAUUAAAUGAGUUUGUAUUUGCUGAACACAAAGUAAACAGACUUGAUUUGCUUGGUGGGAGUGUUGCACUUGCUUGACAAGAGCUUUGGGCUGUGGGUGUAAUGAUUCUUUCUUUGCAUGCCAGUUUCUAUUUGUACAUCUGAUUACCUUUGCACAUGAAUGAUAAGUCUCCUGUGGGGGGUGGAUUGCAUGUGCAUGUAAUGAUUUGUGUUUUGAUACAUGUGUCUGGUGUAUGUGUGUGUUCCUGUGCUUGGGGAUGCUUCCUUCCUUGGACUUACAAGCCCUGACACACACAUGCUGGCAAAAUGCUUCUGCUUGACCCGUCUUGAAACACGGACCAAGGAGUCUAACAGAUGUGCAAAGUUUGAAGGUGGUAUACCUUUGUGUGCAAUGAAAGUGUCAGCUGGGAUAUGUGCACCAGCACCCAAUUAAUUAGCGGACAGAGGUUGAUUG